UAUACCUCAGUUUUAUCAGGUGUUAUUUAAAAUCACCUGGAAAUACUGAGGUUAUGU
ensembl:miRNA ocu-mir-875 ocu-mir-875